AUUGAACGCUGGCGGCAGGCCUAACACAUGCAAGUCGAGCGGAUGACGGGAGCUUGCUCCUUGAUUCAGCGGCGGACGGGUGAGUAAUGCCUAGGAAUCUGCCUGGUAGUGGGGGACAACGUUUCGAAAGGAACGCUAAUACCGCAUACGUCCUACGGGAGAAAGCAGGGGACCUUCGGGCCUUGCGCUAUCAGAUGAGCCUAGGUCGGAUUAGCUAGUUGGUGGGGUAAUGGCUCACCAAGGCGACGAUCCGUAACUGGUCUGAGAGGAUAAGCAGUCACACUGGAACUGAGACACGGUCCAGACUCCUACGGGAGGCAGCAGUGGGGAAUAUUGGACAAUGGGCGAAAGCCUGAUCCAGCCAUGCCGCGUGUGUGAAGAAGGUCUUCGGAUUGUAAAGCACUUUAAGUUGGGAGGAAGGGCAGUAAGUUAAUACCUUGCUGUUUUGACGUUACCGACAGAAUAAGCACCGGCUAACUCUGUGCCAGCCGCCGCCGUAACAC
rnacentral:rRNA from 1 species